GAUGAACGCUGGUGGCGUGCCUAAUACAUGCAAGUCGAGCGAACAGACGAGGAGCUUGCUCCUCUGACGUUAGCGGCGGACGGGUGAGUAACACGUGGAUAACCUACCUAUAAGACUGGGAUAACUUCGGGAAACCGGAGCUAAUACCGGAUAAUAUAUUGAACCGCAUGGUUCAAUAGUGAAAGACGGUUUUGCUGUCACUUAUAGAUGGAUCCGCGCCGCAUUAGCUAGUUGGUAAGGUAACGGCUUACCAAGGCAACGAUGCGUAGCCGACCUGAGAGGGUGAUCGGCCACACUGGGGCUGAGACACGGUCCAGACUCCUACGGGAGGCAGCAGUAGGGAAUCUUCCGCAAUGGGCGAAAGCCUGACGGAGCAACGCCGCGUGAGUGAUGAAGGUCUUCGGAUCGUAAAACUCUGUUAUUAGGGAAGAACAAAUGUGUAAGUAACUAUGCACGUCUUGACGGUACCUAAUCAGAAAGCCACGGCUAACUACGUG
rnacentral:rRNA from 1 species